AUUGAACGCUGGCGGCAUGCUUUACACAUGCAAGUCGGACGGCAGCACAGAGAAGCUUGCUUCUUGGGUGGCGAGUGGCGAACGGGUGAGUAAUAUAUCGGAACGUACCGAGUAAUGGGGGAUAUCUAAUCGAAAGAUUAGCUAAUACCGCAUAUUCUCUGAGGAGGAAAGCAGGGGACCUUCGGGCCUUGCGUUAUUCGAGCGGCCGAUAUCUGAUUAGCUAGUUGGUGGGGUAAAGGCCUACCAAGGCGACGAUCAGUAGCGGGUCUGAAAGGAUGAUCCGCCACACUGGGACUGAGACACGGCCCAGACUCCUACGGGAGGCAGCAGUGGGGAAUUUUGGACAAUGGGCGCAAGCCUGAUCCAGCCAUGCCGCGUGUCUGAAGAAGGCCUUCGGGUUGUAAAGGACUUUUGUCAGGGAAGAAAAGGCUGUUGCUAAUACCGACAGCUGAUGACGGUACCUGAAGAAUAAGCACCGGCUAACUACGUG
rnacentral:rRNA from 1 species